rnacentral:lncRNA from 1 species
UUUGCCGCGAGUUAUUGGCAAGUUCCCCUGCAGUUGUUUGGGCUGUCGCUGUGGCUGGUUCUGCGGUGUGCGGCCAGCCAUGGAGCGCUCUGGGCCCAGCGAAGUGACAGGCUCAGACGCAUCGGGACCGGACCCGCAGCUUGUGGUCACCAUGGGCUUCACGGGGUUCGGGGUUCGGUAAAAAAGCUCACACAUUUGACUUGGAAGCAAUGUUUGAACAAACUCAAAGAACAGCUGUGGAAAGAAGUCACAAAACACUGGACCAGAUUACAGAGGGGUAUUGAUUUGCCUUGCCCCCGCCCCCACCAUCACAGUGUGUCCCUGUCCAGUGUUGGUGCUGUGUGGCAUUGCUUGUGUCCAUAGGAGUCCAUCAAGGCAGAGCGGCAGAGCGGCAAGCAGAGCGGCAAGGCAGGUCAGCUUCCGGCUCUUCCAGGCUGCAUGUCCCCCUCAAUAUCCUUUCAACCCAAUGGAAAUGGAUUGAAAGAGUGAAAGUCACUGGUCUCAAAGAAUCUACGGAAUUUAGCAUUUUGAAAAUCACAGAGCAAUUUUGGGUAGGUAUUCACAUGCACUAAAAAACCAGGCAAACAUCUGACUCCCAGGAUAAAGUGACUGAGAGCAGUAGAAGACUUGUUGAGCCUUAAGGAAUAAGAGGAAAAUUAUGUUAUGAAGUGCAGGAACAGCACAGACCCAGACGAGGGGAUGCAGCCCGGAGCCAGUAACCCGGCGCCUCCUCCUCCCCAGGGCGCAGCGCUGGCUGCUCCCCGGAUACCGUGAUCACACGUCCCAGGUCCUGAGAGCGCCUCAUAGGUAGACAGUUCUUUGGGACUUUUGGGACGCAGCACUUGAAGAGAGGUUUACCUAAACUUUCCUCCUGGGAGCCUGUCAUCAUUUGAAAGUAACAGAAGAAAGCUGUCAGGCUGAGGAAAGUUUCAACAGGCACUUGGUGAGAAUGGGAAGCAUCCAUUCAUUGGGAAAUCACGGGGACAGAGGAGGAAUUCACGGGAUCAGAGCACUGAGAAACUCCAGAGGCUUCUGGUUCACCGCCCUGAUUCCACAGAUGUGGGUCAGAGGCAGAGAUGGAAGUUGGA